UACGGAGGGGGCUAGCGUUGUUCGGAAUUACUGGGCGUAAAGCGCGCGUAGGCGGACCUGCAAGUCGGGGGUGAAAGCCCGAGGCUCAACCUCGGAACUGCCUUCGAUACUGCGGGUCUCGAGUCCGGGAGAGGUGAGUGGGAAUUCCUAGUGUAGAGGUGAAAUUCGUAGAUAUUAGGAAGAACACCAGUGGCGAAGGCGGCUCCAGCUGGCCCGGCACUGACGCGUGAGGCGCGAAAGCGUGGGGAGCAAACAGG
rnacentral:rRNA from 1 species